UCUGAUAUCCAUUAUACAAAAAAGAGCAUAUUUAUGUGCAUGUAUAAAUUGCACAGUAUGCAACCAAAAAUAUACAUAUAUGUUUUACAUGUAUGUGUUUCUAUAUGCCGUUUGACAUGGGAGAUGAGGGAUGCUAUACAUAGUUCUGUUAUUUUCUAUCAUGUAUGUGUAUUAGAGUGUCUGUGUUAAUAUACUUUUUAAUGCAUGCUCUACAUAAUAUACAGUAGUAAUAACACAGAGAAUACGUAUGGAAUGCGUAUCUCUCUAUAUAUAUUUAUGUAUAUAUGCUAUGUGUAUAUCAACCUCGCAUAUUUUCUCCCUGUUGACCACGGCUCCCAC
rnacentral:rRNA from 1 species